rnacentral:rRNA from 1 species
UAUUUCAUUGAGACUUCGGUGGAUUUGAUCUAUUUCUAGUGGCGGACGGGUGAGUAACGCGUGGGUAACCUGCCUUAUACAGGGGGAUAACAGUCAGAAAUGGCUGCUAAUACCGCAUAAGCGCACAGAGCUGCAUGGCUCAGUGUGAAAAACUCCGGUGGUAUAAGAUGGACCCGCGUCGGAUUAGCUUGUUGGUGGGGUAACGGCCCACCAAGGCGACGAUCCAUAGCCGGCCUGAGAGGGUGAACGGCCACAUUGGGACUGAGACACGGCCCAGACUCCUACGGGAGGCAGCAGUGGGGAAUAUUGCACAAUGGGGGAAACCCUGAUGCAGCGACGCCGCGUGAAGGAAGAAGUAUCUCGGUAUGUAAACUUCUAUCAGCAGGGAAGAUAGUGACGGUACCUGACUAAGAAGCCCCGGCUAACUACGUGCCAGCAGCCGCGGUAAUACGUAGGGGGCAAGCGUUAUCCGGAUUUACUGGGUGUAAAGGGAGCGUAGACGGUGUGGCAAGUCUGAUGUGAAAGGCAUGGGCUCAACCUGUGGACUGCAUUGGAAACUGUCAUACUUGAGUGCCGGAGGGGUAAGCGGAAUUCCUAGUGUAGCGGUGAAAUGCGUAGAUAUUAGGAGGAACACCAGUGGCGAAGGCGGCUUACUGGAC